rnacentral:snoRNA from 1 species
UAUGAACUGACUCUUCAUGAUGAUCAACCAAUCACCAUCUUUCGGCUGA